rnacentral:rRNA from 1 species
AUUGAACGCUGGCGGCAGGCCUAAUACAUGCAAGUCGAGCGGAGCGUCGGACGGGGGAGUAAAGCCUAGGACUCUGCCUGGCUGUGGGGGAUAACGUCCGGUAACGGGCGCUAAUACCGCAUACUGUCAGAUGAGCCUAGGUCGUAUUUGCUAGUUGGUGGGGUAAAGUCCCACCAAGGCGCCGAUCCGAAAAUUGUCUGAGAGGAUGAUCAGUCACACGGGAACUGGGACACUGUCUAAACUCCUACGGGAGGCAGCAGUGGGGAACAUUGGACAAUGGGCGAAAGCCUAAAUCAGCCAUGCCGCGUGUGUGAAGAAGGUCUUCGGAUUGUAAAGCACUUUAAGUUGGGAGGCGUUACCAACAGAAUAAGCACCGGCUAACUUCGUGCCAGCAGCCGCGGUAAUAC